rnacentral:rRNA from 1 species
UACGGAGGUGGCAAGCGUUGUUCGGAAUUACUGGGCGUAAAGGGCGCGUAGGCGGUCUUGUAAGUCUCGUGUGAAAUCCCUCGGCUUAACUGAGGAACUGCACGGGAUACUGCAUGACUUGAGGUCGGGAGAGGGAAGCGGAAUUCCGGGUGUAGCGGUGAAAUGCGCAGAUAUCAGGAGGAACACCGGUGGCGAAGGCGGUUCUCUGGGCAUGUCCUGACGCUGAGGAGCGAAAGUGUGGGGAGCGAACAGG